AGCAAUGGGCCUGAACACAGGUGCUGCAUGGCUGUCGUCAGCUCGUGUCGUGAGAUGUUCGGUUAAGUCCGCUAACGAGCGCAACCCUCGCUGUAUGUUACAUGUGUCAUACAGGACCGCCGGUAUCAAGCCGGAGGAAGUGGGGAUGACGUCAAGUCCGCAUGGCCUUUAUGUCCGGGGCUACACACACGCUACAAUGGUCGGUACAAUGGGUUGCUAAGCCGCGAGGUGGAGCCAAUCCCCCAAAGCCGGCCUCAGUUCAGAUUGCAGGCUGCAACUCGCCUGCAUGAAGCUGGAGUUGCUGGUAAACGCGCGUCAGCUAUAGUGCGUUGAAUACGUUCUCGGGCCUU
rnacentral:rRNA from 1 species